rnacentral:rRNA from 1 species
UACGUAGGCAGCGAGCGUUGUUCGGAGUUACUGGGCGUAAAGGGUGUGUAGGCGGUUGUUUAAGUUUGGUGUGAAAUCUCCCGGCUCAACUGGGAGGGUGCGCCGAAUACUGAAUGACUAGAGUGCGGGAGAGGAAAGUGGAAUUCCUGGUGUAGCGGUGAAAUGCGUAGAUAUCAGGAGGAACACCGGUGGUGUAGACGGCUUUCUGGACCGUAACUGACGCUGAGGCGCGAAAGCGUGGGGAGCAAACAGG